rnacentral:rRNA from 1 species
CGGUGGAGGAGGAAGCAGUGGUGGAUGAGGAGGAUGAGGUAGCCAACACUGUUUUUUUAUAUAUAUAUAUAUAUAUAUUUUAAUUGGGGUAGCCCCCAAAAUAUUGGGACAUAUAAAAAAAGACAACUCUGUUCCGCAGAGUAGCUGUUGACAUUAUAGUUGCUCAGCAAAUUUGUUGACUCUAGAGAACCUUGGGCAAAUCGCACAUCCCCGUGGCGGCAACUUUGCAUGCAGAUGUCAUCCAUAUCAACUUUCUAUGCCAGUUUCUGCGCCUACCAUGGUGACCACGGGUAAGGGGGAAUCAGGGUUCCAUUCCGUACAGGGACCCUGAGAAACGGCUACCACAUGCAAGGAAGGCAGCAGGCGCGCAAAUGACCCACUCCCGAUACGGGAAGGUUGUGAUGACAAAUGACAAUACAGGAUUCUUUAGAGGCCCAAUUGUAAUGAGUCCACUUGAAAUCUGUUAACUCUGAUCAAUUGGAAUCCUUUAACUCUGAU